rnacentral:rRNA from 1 species
CGGACGGGUGAGUAACGCGUGAGAAUCUGCCUUUAGGACGGGGACAACAGUUGGAAACGGCUGCUAAAACCCGAUGUGCCCUUCGGGGUGAAAUAUUUAUAGCCUGAAGAUGAGCUCGCGUCUGAUUAGCUAGUAGGUGCGGUAAUGGCGUACCUAGGCGACGAUCAGUAACUGGUCUGAGAGGAUGACCAGUCACACUGGGACUGAGACACGGCUCAG